AACGGUCUAUACCUGCGGUACCUGCGGAAGGAUCAUUACCGAGUUGCAAAACUCCCUAAACCAUUGUGAACCUACCUGUACCGUUCCUUCGGCGGGCGGCGUCGCGCCCUAACCUGCCCCCCUCGCGGGGGAGCGGACCCGCCGGAGGCCCCUAAACUCUUAACUUUAGUUGGCAUCUCUGAGUAAAAUCAAAAAUAAGUCAAAACUUUUAACAACGGAUCUCUAGAUCGGAAGAGCACA
rnacentral:misc_RNA from 1 species